rnacentral:tRNA from 2 species
GGAGGGGUUGGGGAGCGGUCAAACCCAUCUGACUGUAAAUCAGACGCUUCGGCUUCGCAGGUUCGAAUCCUGCCCCCUCCACCA